AUUACCCUUUGUAUGUAGUUUCUCUACCCCUUUCUGUCUUUGUCAGUUCAUUACGUCUUCUUCUGAGUCUUACCUGCAGCUUUCCCAGUGUCUAUCACUUGUGCAUCCUUUUCAUGCAACCAAGGCUUUAUGUUGGGCAUUUUUGGAUUCAUGUCACGAUCUUGAAGUAACUUCUUCCUUGUGGAUUCUCAGUUGGACUCUGGACAUUAAGAAAUGCUCAAAGAAGAGGGCAGACCACACAAGGCGGAGAAAUCCACAGGGGCAAGGCAGCCAGAAGGGUCAAAUGCAUGAAGGUUGACAGGUGUCUGUUCCUACUUCUGCUCCAAAGUGGGCUGAAGAAUGGAAACCCUCCUCACACAUUGCCAUUCUGUGACAGAUCUAACAAAGACAAAUCCUUUCCCUUCACGUCUGCGAGCAGGAAGAUGGAUUAGAGACUACUGCUCUGACUCGCAGGUAUCCUGAGAGGUGAGGGGAACCUGCAAACCUCAGACGGGAACUUUGUUGGACUUCUUUGAGAUGAACACAAUUUAAAAUCAAAUAAAUAACACUUCUCCACUGUUUGCAGUAA